UAGACUAAGGGAUUGAUACCCUAUUAUUUAAAAUGUAAAAUUUUGUUUAACUUGAGUAGUAUUAGUUAUGUUCUUGAAACUCAAAGAAUUUGGCGGUGUUUUAGUCUUUUCAGAGGAAUCUGUCCCUUAAAUGAUAAUACACGAUUAACUUUACCAUUAUUUUGUAGUUUCAGUAUGUAUACCGCCGUCAUCAGUUUAUCUUUUUAGAGUUAAAAAUUUUCUUUUUCUUUAAUUAUAUAUUAUGUCAGGUCAAGGUGCAGCUUAUAUUAUGGUGGAGAUGGAUUACAAUAAAUUUAUUUAUAUGGAAUAUUAUAUGAAAAAUUAAUAUGAAGGUGGAUUUGUAAGUAAUUUUAUUAAUUUUAUUAAGUUGAUUUUAGCUCUAAAAUAUGUACACAUCGCCGGACCACUUCUCA
rnacentral:rRNA from 1 species